rnacentral:rRNA from 1 species
UACAGAGGUCUCAAGCGUUGUUCGGAUUCAUUGGGCGUAAAGGGUGCGUAGGCGGCGUGGUAAGUCGGAUGUGAAAUCUCGGAGCUUAACUCCGAAACUGCAUUCGAUACUGCCGUGCUUGAGGACUGGAGAGGAGACUGGAAUUUACGGUGUAGCGGUGAAAUGCGUAGAUAUCGUAAGGAAGACCAGGUGGCGAAGGCGGGUCUCUGGACAGUUCCUGACGCUGAGGCACGAAGGCCAGGGGAGCAAACGG